AUUGAACGCUGGCGGCAUGCUUUACACAUGCAAGUCGAACGGGGUGAAGGGGCAACUCUUCAUUCAGUGGCGAACGGGUGAGUAAUACAUCGGAACGUACCCCGUAGUGGGGGAUAACUCGGCGAAAGCCGUGCUAAUACCGCAUAUGCUCUACGGAGGAAAGCAGGGGACCUGCAAGGGCCUUGUGCUAUGGGAGCGGCCGAUGUCCGAUUAGCUUGUUGGUGGGGAAUGGCCUACCAAGCGACGAUCGGUAGCUGGUCUGAGAGGAUGAUCAGCCACACUGGGACUGAGACACGGCCCAGACUCCUAC
rnacentral:rRNA from 1 species